rnacentral:misc_RNA from 1 species
AAAAAACUUAAUCAUUCUUAACACUUUAGGACUUCCUUCACCUUGACAAUUCCACACAAGCAACGAUAUAAAAAAAGAGAGAUAAAAAAGAAAACCUCUGUCCAUUAAUCCCUAAGGAAAAAGGAUAAAAAGGCUCCUCCAUUCCCUCAUCACUCUCAUAUUCUGUAUCAUUUUCUCCUCAUCAGAAUCUUUCCCCUCAUUCAUUUCUUCAUCAACCCUAUCUUAAGGAUUAAUAAAGGCAUUCAACGAAUCCCCAACAUCAUCAAGUGGACAGCCCAUAAAUCCCACCUAUAAGCCUUUUGAACCUCCAUUAUUUCUCUGACUCAAAAUACCAUCUUAGAACCAACAGACACUUCAGCCUCUCGAGCAGAUGACACCACCUUACUUCUUAAAAUAAGUCAAAUGCAGUGUGAUCAUUAGGGUCCAAAGUCAUCACUAAUGUCUCCAUAUUAG